rnacentral:tmRNA from 1 species
GGGGGCGAACAGGUUCGACAGCGUGUGAGAACGCAGGGUGGCGCUCCGAGGACGCCGGUUGGCCUCGUAAAAAGCCCGGCAACAAUUAGCUGCUAAUCCCAGCUACGCACUCGCGGCCUAGCGCCACGACGUCCGCCCGGCCGCGCCCCGAGGCCGGGAGGGACGUAAAAACAGGGGCUGGCUCCGCGACAGCGCCCGGCGGUCGCGGGGCGAGAAAACGCCGGGAUGGCCAAGGGGGGAUCCUCUCCGUCGGAGCCCCCCGCGGCGACAUCCAAUAGACGGGGCACGAGCGUAGAGGCCCUGCCGGACCGCACGUUGGACGGGGGUGCGAUUCCCCCCGCCUCCAUUU